ensembl:lincRNA linc-69 ncRNA
UAUCACCAAAAACUUGUUCAUCUUUAUGACUAUCACUUGACUCUUCAGAAACGUUCAGCCGGCGUCAUUGAUAUGUCAACGUUCCAGUGGCAAAAACAUACAACAUUCAUUGCGAUUAAUCACUUGAAUUGAAUUAUCCAGAAAUGACUGUCUGUAACCGAUCCGUGAAAGUCAUUCAACUGUUUUUUUGCAAAUGUAGCGUCCUUGUCAUGCCAACGUAUAAUGUGCAAUAUUCUUUAGAUUUGUUUUCCGUUUAAAUUGACUCAAUUUAUUCAGCAAAGCACUUUAAAACAAUAAGUUGUAACCUCUGUUCAUGAUUACGAUCUAAAAAACUCCAUUAAAACGUUUUCUGAAU